GGAAAAAAAAAAUAAACUCCCAAACCCCUGUGAAAUACCUUUAUGUUGCCUCGGCGGAUCAGCCCGCGCCCCGUAAAACGGGACGGCCCGCCGCAGGAACCACAAAACUCUGAUUUUAGUGUAACUUCUGAGUCUAAAAAACAAAUAAAUCAAAACUUUCAACAACGGAUCUCUUGGUUCUGGCAUCGAUGAAGAACGCAGCAAAAUGCGAUAAGUAAUGUGAAUUGCAGAAUUCAGUGAAUCAUCGAAUCUUUGAACGCACAUUGCGCCCGCCAGUAUUCUGGCGGGCAUGCCUGUUCGAGCGUCAUUUCAACCCUCAAGCCCCCGGGUUUGGUGUUGGGGAUCGGGCUGUACUCCAGCCCGGCCCCGAAAUCUAGUGGCGGUCUCGCUGCAGCCUCCAUUGCGUAGUAGCUAACACCUCGCAACUGGAACGCGGCGCGGCCAAGCCGUUAAACCCCCAACUUCUGAAUGUUGACCUCGGAUCAGGUAGGAAUACCCGCUGAACUUAAGCAUAUCAAUAAGCAGAGGAA
rnacentral:rRNA from 1 species